AUACGGAGGAUGCGAGCGUUAUCCGGAUUUAUUGGGUUUAAAGGGAGCGUAGGUGGGAUAUUAAGUCAGCUGUGAAAGUUUGGGGCUCAACCUUAAAAUUGCAGUUGAUACUGGUUUCCUUGAGUACGGUACAGGUGGGCGGAAUUCGUGGUGUAGCGGUGAAAUGCUUAGAUAUCACGAAGAACUCCGAUCGCGAAGGCAGCUCGCCGGGCCGGAACUGACACUGAUGCUCGAAAGUGCGGGUAUCAAACAGGAUUAGAUUCCCUGGUAGUCCGCACAGUAAACGAUGAAUACUCGCUGUUUGCGAUACACGGUAAGCGGCCAAGCGAAAGCGUUAAGUAUUCCACCUGGGGAGUACGCCGGCAACGGUGAAACUCAAAUGAAUUGACGGGG
rnacentral:rRNA from 1 species